UCAGAAUUCAUCAAUAUACUUCAAUCAUCUGCGAACGCUACAUACAGCAAUACUCGAAAUAUCAUUCAUUCAACCAUGGCCAAGAACAUCAGCACGUUCCUCAGUUUCUUUUUAUUCGUUUUGAUUGCCAUCCCGACCUCUUCUUCGACCAGGAUGCUACUCCAGGAGGUUCAGGAACUAGCACCUUUCUGCACAGAAUAUAAUCCAGAUUUACGAUGUGCUACUCCCUGGGACCCAGAAUUUACAUGCCCAGAAGGUCAGCAUCCAUGCAGGAGCAACUGUGGAGUUUCAAAAUGCCUGGCACCUUUCUGCGCAGAAUAUAACCCAGCGUUACGAUGCGGUACCCCCUGGGACUCAGAUUUUACAUGCCCAGAAGGCCAGCAUCCGUGCAGGAGCAACUGUGGCAGAUCAAGAUGCCUCGCAAAUUAACCACUUCACGCUCAUUGUGCCGCGCAGUUCAUACAUAUAUACCUUAAUAACUAUUGUUUGUGUGUCCAUGGUAUUGUGUUUUCUCCUCUUAAUAAUUUGAUCAAUGUUAAUUUCUAUGUCUAUUCUUAUGUACCCAUGUUUGUACUUUCUUCCUAAAUAUGAAGCGGACUGCGUGUUGUGUUAUGUUAAGUUGUGUUUGAUAAAAGUUGUGCAAACUGUAUAAAUAAAAUUAAGCUGUGUUUGAUAAAA